AGUGAACGCUGGCGGUAGGCCUAACACAUGCAAGUCGAACGGCAGCACAGUAAGAGCUUGCUCUUACGGGUGGCGAGUGGCGGACGGGUGAGGAAUACAUCGGAAUCUACUUUUUCGUGGGGGAUAACGUAGGGAAACUUACGCUAAUACCGCAUACGACCUACGGGUGAAAGCAGGGGAUCUUCUGACCUUGCGCGAUUGAAUGAGCCGCUGUCGGAUUAGCUAGUUGGCGGGGUAAAGGCCCACCAAGUCGACGAUCCGUAGCUGGUCUGAGAGGAGGAUCGGCGACACUGGAACUGAGCCACGGUCCAGAGUCCUACGGGAGGCAGCAGUGGGGAAUAUGGGACAAUGGGGGCAAGCCUGAUACAGCGAGACCGCGUGGGUGAAGAAGGCCUUCGGGUUGUAAAGCCCUUUUGUUGGGAAAGAAAAGCAGCAGGUUAAUACCCCGCUGUUCUGACGGUACUCAAAGAAUAAGCACCGGCUAACUUCGUG
rnacentral:rRNA from 1 species